rnacentral:rRNA from 1 species
UUUGAUCCUGGCUCAGAAUCAACGCUGGCGGCGUGCCUAACACAUGCAAGUCGAACGCGAAAGUCCCGCAAGGGAUAAGUAGAGUGGCAAACGGGUGAGUAACACGUGGGUGACCUGCCUUCGAGCGGGGGAUAACGUCCCGAAAGGGACGCUAAUACCGCAUAACAUCCUGCCUUUGAAGAGGUGGAGAUCAAAGCUGGGGAUCGCAAGACCCGGCACUUGAAGAGGGGCCCGCGCCUGAUUAGCUAGUUGGUGAGGUAAUGGCUCACCAAGGCAACGAUCAGUAUCCGGCCUGAGAGGGCGGACGGACACACUGGGACUGAGACACGGCCCAGACUCCUACGGGAGGCAGCAGUGGGGAAUUGUUCGCAAUGGGCGCAAGCCUGACGACGCAACGCCGCGUGGAGGAUGAAGAUUUUCGGAUCGUAAACUCCUGUCGAAUGGGACGAAAAGGUCGCGGAUUAACAUCCCGUGAUCCUGACGGUACCGUUAAAGGAAACCCCGGCUAACUCCGUGCCAGCAGCCGCGGUAAUACGGGGGGGGUAAGCGUUGUUCGGAAUUACUGGGCGUAAAGGGCUCGUAGGCGGCCAACUAAGUCAGACGUGGAAUCCCUCAGCUUAACUGGGGAACUGCGUCUGAUACUGGAUGGCUUGGAUUCGGGAGAGGGAUGCGGAAUUCCAGGUGUAGCGGUGAAAUGCGUAGAUAUCUGGAGGAACACCGGUGGCGAAGGCGGCAUCCUGGACCGAUAUUGACGCUGAGGAGCGAAAGCCACGGGAGCAAACGGGAUUAGAUACCCCGGUAGUCCUGGCCCUAAACGAUGAAUGCUUGGUGUAGCGGGUAUCGAUCCCUGCUGUGCCGAAGCUAACGCAUUAAGCAUUCCGCCUGGGGAGUACGGUCGCAAGGCUGAAACUCAAAGAUUGACGGGGCCCGCACAGCGUGGAGCAUGUGGUUCAAUUCG